rnacentral:hammerhead_ribozyme from 1 species
ACCCGGCUGAUGAGUCCCAAAUAGGUCGAAACGCACGUCCUGUAU